rnacentral:rRNA from 1 species
ACGAUGUCGACUUGGAGGUUGUGCCCUUGAGGUGUGGCUUCCGGAGCUAACGCGUUAAGUCGACCGCCUGGGGAGUACGGCCGCAAGGUUAAACUCAAAUGAAUUGACGGGGGCCCGCACAAGCGGUGGAGCAUGUGGUUUAAUUCGAUGCAACGCGAAGAACCUUACCUACUCUUGACAUCCAGAGAACUUAGCAGAGAUGCUUUGGUGCCUUCGGGAACUCUGAGACAGGUGCUGCAUGGCUGUCGUCAGCUCGUGUUGUGAAAUGUUGGGUUAAGUCCCGCAACGAGCGCAACCCUUAUCCUUUGUUGCCAGCGGUUAGGCCGGGAACUCAAAGGAGACUGCCAGUGAUAAACUGGAGGAAGGUGGGGAUGACGUCAAGUCAUCAUGGCCCUUACGAGUAGGGCUACACACGUGCUACAAUGGCGCAUACAAAGAGAAGCGACCUCGCGAGAGCAAGCGGACCUCAUAAAGUGCGUCGUAGUCCGGAUUGGAGUCUGCAACUCGACUCCAUGAAGUCGGAAUCGCUAGUAAUCGUAGAUCAGAAUGCUACGGUGAAUACGUUCCCGGGCCUUGUACACACCGCCCGUCACACCAUGGGAGUGGGUUGCAAAAGAAGUAGGUAGCUUAACCUUCGGGAGGGCGCUUACCACUUUGUGAUUCAUGACUGGGGUGAAGUCGUAACAAGGUAACCAAGGGCGAAUUCCAG